GUCAGGUUGGCCGAGUGGUCUAAGGCGCCAGAUUUAAGCUCUGGUACUCGUUCAGAGUGCGUGGGUUCGAACCCCACACCUGACA